GUCCUCCAGAAAGAAGAGAACCAAACUAUUGUUUCAGAAGAACCAUAAAACAUGUAAUCAUGUCUGGCUCCACAGGAAAACAAGGGAGGACAAGAGGAAAACCUGGUUCAUAGUGCAUCAGAAGAUAAUCCAGCCAGUCCUAGUGGGAAUUCUGGAACUGGAGUUGCUUUAAACUUAACUGAAGUUGUUUUAAACCAAGCUGUCCUUUACACCACCACUGACAAACUCCUCCUAUAACCUUGGCUUUCAUCAAACUGUGUUCCAAUUCCUGGCUUCAAAUGACAGGUUGUUCUUAGGUUUUCCUUUACUUUUAGGAUUUUGGCAAACACACAGGAAACACAAAUGCCAAUGGAGAGAGAAUGUCUUCAGCAAAUUUCCUCUACCCUCUAGCACUAGAAGCAAGAGACAGCAUCAGCAAGCAUCUUGAGAGCCGGGAGGAAGGUUGUGAAGCUUAAACCCACCUAAUGGAACUGAAAAGACCCGGAGGUCCUGAUGCUACAGUUCUGAAAAUCUGCCUGGCCACACCCUGGAAGGCGUCUCUUACUGUACAACUCCUCCUGCGUGUGGACAAAGACUUCCAUCCCAUUUGUGCAGCUGGGAA